UGAUUAGUGGCGACGGGUGAGUAACACGUGGGCAAUCUGCCCUUCACUCUGGGACAAGCCCUGGAAACGGGGUCUAAUACCGGAUAAUACUCCUGCCUGCAUGGGUGGGGGUUGAAAGCUCCGGCGGUGAAGGAUGAGCCCGCGGCCUAUCAGCUUGUUGGUGGGGUAAUGGCCCACCAAGGCGACGACGGGUAGCCGGCCUGAGAGGGCGACCGGCCACACUGGGACUGAGACACGGCCCAGACUCCUACGGGAGGCAGCAGUGGGGAAUAUUGCACAAUGGGCGAAAGCCUGAUGCAGCGACGCCGCGUGAGGGAUGACGGCCUUCGGGUUGUAAACCUCUUUCAGCAGGGAAGAAGCGAAAGUGACGGUACCUGCAGAAGAAGCGCCGGCUAACUACGUGCCAGCAGCCGCGGUAAUACGUAGGGCGCAAGCGUUGUCCGGAAUUAUUGGGCGUAAAGAGCUCGUAGGCGGCUUGUCACGUCGGAUGUGAAAGCCCGAGGCUUAACCUCGGGUCUGCAUUCGAUACGGGCUAGCUAGAGUGUGGUAGGGGAGAUCGGAAUUCCUGGUGUAGCGGUGAAAUGCGCAGAUAUCAGGAGGAACACCGGUGGCGAAGGCGGAUCUCUGGGCCAUUACUGACGCUGAGGAGCGAAAGCGUGGGGAGCGAACAGGAUUAGAUACCCUGGUAGUCCACGCCGUAAACGUUGGGAACUAGGUGUUGGCGACAUUCCACGUCGUCGUGCCGCAGCUAACGCAUUAAGUUCCCCGCCUGGGGGAGUACGGCCGCAAGGCUAAAACUCAAAGGAAUUGACGG
rnacentral:rRNA from 1 species